ACGCGCUGAGCGGGCGCCCGUCCGGGGCGGGCGGGUUGAGCGGAGGUGAAGAUGGCGGCGAAUGGGGAGCGGUGAAGAAAUGGGAAGCUGAAGGCGGGGCGUGAGGCGGACGUUCGGCAGAGGAAUGGCGGAGGGAACGCAGCGCGUCCCGGGGAGGACGGCGGGAGAGCGGCCCCAGGGCGGCCGGUUGGUGAUGCCUAGCUGCUGUUAAAGCAGAAGUUUGAGAUCUGCAUUCCAAAACCCUUCACUGCAGAAACAACCAUGUCAGAUUUGCUGCCACAGGAAAGACGUUGUGUCAACCCAUCCUCUCUCUUCCUUUUUUUGUUGUAAGAAACAGUGCGACCUGAAGAGGCCCGGAUUAACAGCUGUCCAUUUUUGGCUUUAGCUCUCGCUCCCUGAUUACUAUCUCUGAGAAACAGUGAAGUGGUGCUCACCGUUGACUCCAAGCUGCACUGAGACCUACUGGCACCUCACCGUUCCAUCCCCACCACUAAGUUAUCGUUCAAACAAACUGCUGGGCUGCUGCUUGAAGUUCCUCCCACUACGUAACUCGUGGGAGAUCCAGCAAUUGUACUAGCUGUUGAGUUUCUUUACCCACAAGUCAGAACUGCCCAUAUUUGGUACUUAGCUUGAUGCAAGUAGAUGGCAGAUCAAAGUCCCUUGCCACUGCAGUAUCCAAUGCUGAGGAAUGGCCCUUUCUGGCUGAAUUGAAUUUUAUUGAGGUGCCUUUUUACGGCACCACUGAAAUUCAAGUUAUUUGAUCUUCGUGCGAAUGGUCAUUUAAAAACCCAGUAAUGUUCCUGUCUUGGCAUGUGGCAAGUUCAGUGUGUGCACCUUGUCGCCAGAGGCAGCACCUAGCAGCUAACCUGCCGUGGUUUUACUGCUCUGUAUCACUGUUUACCAUGGCAAAUUUAACAGCUGUCUUUUCUCCCCAGGCAAUUAGGCAACGAGCAUCCAAAACAAAGUCUCCCUUGUAUUUAGUAACAGGCCCUCGCCUGUCUGUUGCAAAAUUUGCUGUGGUGACUUCCCUUCCUUUUUGGGAAAACUCCAGCUCCCAGCUGUGCAGCCAUCUGACUGCCAAUCCAGCUUGUGAGCAGUUGGGUGUCUAAGAUUGCGCCAGGUUCAGGUGAGCCCGUGAGAUCAAAGAGAAGACUAUCUGGCACUAAGAUGGUUCUUAACCUCCCUCCACCCUUUGAACUGCCCAUCGCCUUUGUUUGAAUGUAAAAGUAUCGAUUAACCCCCCCCCCCACCCCCCUCCAAUCUCUUGAUAAAUGUAGUUAAAAAAUGCUGCAAGUACACCGCAAGGCAGCCUGCAAGUUUUUAUCAGUGCUUUUGCUGUUCUCCUUUGGAUAUAGGCUGUGUGUUUGCAGCAUUUUCUGCUAAUUGUCUCUGAAUUGACAGGCGAUCGGGUGCCAAGGGAAAAGACUAGUUUGCUCCGGUGGAUGUCAGGCUUCACCUUGUGAGCUGUGGAGUGCUGCGUCCCCACCCUCCCUUCGGCACACUGUCAGUUGGUAUGCAGACCAGUUAGAGCUGGGAAAGGUGAGGGCUGAGCUCAUGCCCAUUGUAAAAGUGGUCUGGGCGAAGCCAUACGUGUGUAGAGAAGGAGGAAGUGGUCAUUCCUAACCAGGUCAAGAUGAUCCACGAGUCUGUGAAGACUUUUCUGAAUUCUUGAGGGAAAUCCAUGCCUUCCCUUUGAGUUGUGCUGCCUGUUUUCCAGCAUCCAAAAUCAAGGCAACGGCGAGAGACCUGUUCAGUAUCAAAGCCACCAAGGCUGCCAAUAAACUAUUAAAGAAGUGAAUAUCAUCACUGGCCACCAAGGUUCAGCAAAGCCUGAGACUGACACCAAAAUGUAGGCUUCUGGUUCUGCUGUCAGACUGAACAGUGCGGGAUAUCUGCCGAAACCAAUGUGCACCAUCUUGGAAAUCAGUGUUUAAUGGAGCACUGUAAGCAACGGUGAUUCCCAGUGGAUGUCCAAACACCAUGUCAGGUCGAUUACUUUGUGCAAAUCCCUGAUCGGCGGUGGGGGGGGUGGUGGAAUAUAUAAACCAUUCUUCGGUCACGUGCAAAGAAGAUUUAAUGGCCCCAGAGUUUGAAGGCAGCUCUUUUAUUGUGAGGGCAGGGUAUCAGGGUACAAACGGUGGGCUGUCUGGGUAGUCUGCUUCAUGCCAAUAUCAGCUUCUUUAAAUGAGCUUUCCUGGAACUGGUCUGUGUUGAUUUCAAGCCCUUUGAUAGCUAUAAUAGUAGCAUUGGGACUGGAGAGGACUUGGGCUGUUGUACAUAGCGCAGUGUUGGUAGAAUAGAGUGCUAUCCUUUCCCCUCCCCUCCCUCCCUAAUUUUUAGAUCUUUUAGACUUGCAUUUAUUUUUUAAUUUUUAGUAUUCGUUUAGGUAAAAGUUCGGGCUGUGCAAUAUUAUAACGUGAAAAGAAGUGUCACGACAAGUUUUUUUAAGAGAAAAAACAGAACAACAAAAUCACCAAUGUCUUCCAUUUGGAGAUGUAUAGUUCCACGCCACUUUAGUGCUUCAGUAGCAGCUGUAGUGCCAAACUUUAGAGGCAGUGCAUGAGGUUAGCGGAGCUUGCCAUGAGCAGUUUAACUGAAAAUUUUUUUUUAAUGGGGUGUAGCUUAAUGAACUAACCAGAAUUCAGGUUUAAACAGCAGACUGGUUUGAGGGAUUUCAGGAUGGCCUCAUACCCAUGCUCUCAGUCUCUCCAUCUCUUGAGCUUUGGCUUUGCAAUGAAAUUUUGAUGCUUCAGAUUGCCCACUGCUUGCAUUGGGGAAGGCAAUGAUUCCUCCUAUGGAUCUUCAGAAAGCCUGUUGAGUUGGGAAUGAAAGGGGGUGGUGUUGGUUGUUGGGAGCGUCUCCCAGCAGCUGGAGCAGGUGAACAUCCAGUCUCCUAUUCCACGAACAAAGUGAUAUGUAACACAGAUAUGAACAAUUAGCUUCUGCAUUAGAAAUCUGCAUUAGCUUCUGCAUUAGAAAUCUAAAAAUUUCAUCCUCUUAGUGGCUUGUUGUGUAGAGCAUGGAGGAGCGGCGUGUGUGGUUGAUGAGGGAAGUUUAGGCACCACAUUAUCCUUCAUCCACACAUCAGAUUGUACUUGUUGCUCACUGGAUAUGGAAUUCACAUUACGGUGUCCAGCAGUACAUCCAUCUACCUUGCAGCUCUGUGGUCAGUUCAGAGUGGUUUCCUUCCACCUUGCAGCCUGACGCUGGAUUCAGCAAGACUUCCCAGGGAAGGAAACUUGCUUGGAAAUCGACCUUUGUCUGAUUUGUAAAAGAAGUCCGCCCGUGACGGUGAAUCUGCCACGUGGAUGGAGUAUUAAGAAAGGGUUUCUUGAACAGCUUUUUAUGCUUGAUGUUUCCUGAAAGCUGUACCUGGAGCUGGCUGGUUGGUAGUAGUUUUAACGCUGGUUCUUUAAUACAGAGCAACGUACAUGCACAGAGUGCUGAUUUGUCACCAUUUACUUAAUCUGUUGUUCUGUGACCCUUUGUUGCGAUGAGGGUGGAGUUUAGUGCCAUUUAUUGGGCAUCAGGAGGCUUUAAAGCAGUUAUCGCACAACCCUGUCUUAAAACAUCCUCCAUGCUAACUGAGACUAACUUCACAGAGGUCGGAUUGUAAUAUAACUGUCCCUAUUCAUUUUUUUUAAUAUAUAGUGCUUUGCAAAAUAAUUCUGCUUUGGAUAAGAUUAUUAAAUACCUCCUGGGUUUCAACUGCAAAUGAAACUCUUAGCACAAAUUGUAGUCACACUAAAAUGCAAAUAAAGCCAUAUGAUUUUAGAGUAUCUGCCAUUAGUAGCAAUAACUGUUGUAUGUGUGUUAGUGAUGCUGUAUGGUAUAGGAGAGGAGGGCCUUGGGGGGAACUGGUUGUAGAAUGACCAAACGGACCUCAACCUAGUUAUUCUGGUACAGGCUAACUUCUAGUCCUGGAAACCUUGAAGUUAGGGGGACUGGGAUAUCUGUAAACUUGGCUGGUAUAAGUCCAGCAGCAAUAUCUGUGACUGUCAAGGAUCUAAAUGCUUGUCCAGUUCUUGGCAGUCACCACUCCAACUCCUGGAGGAAGCCAGGAGAAGCCUGUCUCAGAACUGCAGCACCCAAGCACUUCUGGAAAAAGGACAAGUGAGGGACAACCGUCUAACUGGAUACAACCCAGCGCAAGCAAUCCCAAGAAGUUCAGCCCUGAGUACAGCACACUUUUUAGACUCUAAAUGCUCCUCCUUCGUGAGCCAGGUGCCUGCCCAGUUUAGCAAGGGUCUGCUCUCCUUCAUUAUGCUUGAGGCUUGCCGCCUUGUGGACUUGUGUGCAGGCAGCAGGAGACCGAGUGGAAAAUCUCUGCGAGGUGCAGGCGGAACCUUGGACUGAUCAUAAGAAUCUGGGCCAAAGGGGGCCAUGUCUUCAAAAAUGCAUGUUCACAAAUGUACCGUAUACAAUAGCCAAGUCUGUAACAAAAUCUGUCCACUGUUUAAUUAUGCAUAACACACUGAGCAAUAGGAAUUAAAAUGUAUGACAGAUGUACCAUCCUGUUUGUUGUUGUCCAGCCAGCAAAGCUGAUUGUGUUUUAGGAGAGGGCGAGGUAUCAAGCUGGCAGGACAGUGAUUGUGUGAGGCUGAGGCAGGAAAGUGGCACCAGCUCUGACUCGGGCACUGGUUGUGUUUGUUUGUCUUGUUCUACCAGCAGCUUCAUCCAGUCCAUGGUCACUCUGCUGCUGGUUUGCCCCACAAGCUGUACGUGUGUUUGGUCUUUUUCCAGCUCUCCUUCUAGGUCGGGGCACCACCUAGUUUGCCCUUUUCAUUCCCAGCGAUCAGGAGCUGUGGAUCUGUACAGAAGAAUUUUUUUUCAGGCCAGCCCGGGUACCCAUCGUGGCAGGGCUGAGAACACUUCUGCCCACUGCUGCUUCCUCUGAGGAGCGUAAGUUGUCUCAUUUUCUCAGACUGCAGAUAUUGAAUCUCUUCUCCCCAAACGAUGAUUAAAGGUAUUCCACCUUCCCAAGCAGUGAGUAGUAAUGUUCUUUCCACUCCUCCCUCGUCACCCUGGGCAGUGGGGUUUCCCCUGAAGUUUGGGCAGUGGGGUCUGCUUGGGUUCCAUUUCUUCAGUGCUGUCAGUAGUGGGAUCUCUCUCUCCCUCUCCCUCAUUUCCCAGAGCUGGUGGAAUUGGGUAAAUGCCAUUACCUUUCUCCCCCUCACCAUAGCUAUUGACUCGCACCAGUGUGCAGAACUAUCCUCGCAUUGCUGUCCCAGCUCAUUCGGCUUUUGGUUCUUCCCUUCAGUGGGUGCUCACUGCUCAUUGGCUGCCUUCUUACUGAUGGCGUCUGCCCUUCCUCACCAGGGGAGCCAUUCCCCUGUAUUCAAUAAAAAUCCUUUGUUAUUUUGAAGACUCCUCAGACACAGUGGCCUCCUUCGCUGUCAUAAAUUUUCUUUGUUUUUCUUCAAAAAUUGACUAACCCUCGGCGACCUAUUCAGUGUCAUCUGCAAAUUCGGAAAUUGUUUUCAAUUCCAAAAUGUAAAUCAUUGUGCACAACCAUUCCCAGGCACUGAUCCUUCAGUCACCCACUGAAUAGCCGCAAUUUACCAUGUCUGUUUGGGAAGCAGUUAACCAUCCGUUCUGUCACUUGUCCUCUCUCUUUAUUAAGGCUAUCAAAGAUCCCUUGGAAAUCUAAAUAAAUUACAAAUAUAUUGCCUUGUCCACUCUGUGAUAUCGCUGAAGAAUUUAGUAAAGUUGGUUGAGGAAGAUUUCAGUUUUGAAUUCGUGCUGACUUCAUUAUGGAAACAGAAAAUGCUGGAAAUACUCAGCAGGUCAGGCCACAUCUGUGGGAAGAGACACAUAGUUAAUGUUUCUCUUCCCUUCGAUGCUGCCUGACCUGCUGAGUAUUUCCAGCAUCGGCAGUCUUUUUUUAUUUUUCAUUGACGAUUCAUUUUUUAGUUUCUCCUUUAGUGUCAAUUACUAUUCCAACUUUAUUUUCCUUGCACUCAUAAGCUGAUUAGUCUAUAGUUUCCUGGAUGUUUUCUGUCUUAACUACAACUAUAGCAUUAGCUCCCUGUUAGAUUUUUUAAAGAAAUUAUUAAAUGUAUUUAGAAGUGCCUCUUCCGUAUUUUAAAAUGUGUGUGUGAUCUGUCCAGAUUGAGAUUUUAUUAGAAAAAAAUGCAUUUUUAUGAAUUUUUUAAACAUCCCUUUUGAGGGGUUAGCUGGUGUAAUUUCAAACACACAUCAGUGAUGUCUGCUGCAAGUUGAUCUGUUCUAAAAUUGGGAUGAGAAGCUUCACUAAUGGGUAACCUGGUACUUGCUGCAGCUGUCUGUAUAAAGCUUUACCACGGGGCCCAGCCAGCUGACUGCAUUCAGUCACAAGUUUCCCUUAGUGCAAGUCACAUGCAGUGCCUGAUUGGAGCUGGUGCGGUCAAGUGCUUUGCUACUUGCUAUAUUGCAGCACACUGCCUCAUUCCUCAAAUGUGUCUGUUCAAUAAAAGCUGUGUUUUGCUGGGUUUAUAAAACAUUCUGCUGUCUAAAUUUGUUAUUUGAUUUUUUUUAAUGGAAUACCAGUGCUAUAUGUUUUCUAGAUGCAUGAGGCAGCUUGCAUUAAACUAUGCAUUUCAGAGAGAAGGGAUGAGAAUUGCAUGAAUCGCUCACUAUGUAGAAUGAUCCCUGGAGCAGUUUAAUUGCUCUGAUUUCACCUCUGUACAGAACUAACAGCAAUAAAAGACCCGUGUGCCAAGGGUG